rnacentral:tRNA from 66 species
GGUCUGGUAGUUCAGUUGGUUAGAAUACCUGCCUGUCACGCAGGGGGUCGCGGGUUCGAGUCCCGUCCAGACCGCAA